GAUGAACGCUGGCGGCGUGCCUAAUACAUGCAAGUCGAGCGAACAGACGAGGAGCUUGCUCCUCUGACGUUAGCGGCGGACGGGUGAGUAACACGUGGAUAACCUACCUAUAAGACUGGGAUAACUUCGGGAAACCGGAGCUAAUAACGGAUAAUAUAUUGAACCGCAUGGUUCAAUAGUGAAAGACGGUUUUGCUGUCACUUAUAGAUGGAUCCGCGCCGCAUUAGCUAGUUGGUAAGGUAACGGCUUACCAAGGCAACGAUGCGUAGCCGACCUGAGAGGGUGAUCGGCCACACUGGAACUGAGACACGGUCCAGACUCCUACGGGAGGCAGCAGUAGGGAAUCUUCCGCAAUGGGCGAAAGCCUGACGGAGCAACGCCGCGUGAGUGAUGAAGGUCUUCUGAUCGUAAAACUCUGUUAUUAGGGAAGAACAAAUGUGUAAGUAACUAUGCACGUCUUGACGGUACCUAAUCAGAAAGCCACGGCUAACUACGUG
rnacentral:rRNA from 1 species